UGCCAAUCAAAAUCCUAUCACCACCUCCUCGCGGUGCCGGCUGGAUACAACAACUUGUUGGAACUAACAGUGAAGG
rnacentral:ribozyme from 1 species